GCAUUUGUCCCCGUUUCGGAAUAACUGGAAACUUGUUGCUACGUCUCAGGUUUAUGGAACAGACUGUGAAGUUGAGAUUCCUGCCAUUGUGGCAGCCAGAACACAUGGCGAAGAACUCGAGCACUGUAUGACCUCGGAGCCUCAUGGGAAAUGUUAGGAACAAAAUUGCCUUUCGAUGAAACUGCAAUUAAUCAGGGGGAUCCAAAAAUUCCUUCCUCGAAUAUUAGAGGACGAUAUGCAACCAAUUAGUCUUUUGCCACGAAUGAAAUCCACUUGGAUUUUUCUUUCAUUUCCCUGAGGAACCAUCCUUCAGCCGGAAGACAGUUGCUCAUAGAGUUUACAGUAACUUUUCUGUAAAAAGGAAUUUGCACAUGGAUAUUAA